GUUUAAUGACUGGAUGGUAUCAAUUUAUGUGACAGAAAUAUAAAUUCAGUUGUGAACUCUCUAUUGGAUUGAGUUUUCAAUAGAAAACCUGAGAUAGUUCUUAGCUGGAAGCUCUGUAAGACUGAAAAACAACAUGCAUGCCAUGUACGGAACUAGUCCCUCCAGAUGAAGAAUUCUGUCCAAUACAGGACUUCUAGAGACCUGACAAUCAGCUUCAUUACAACAUUAUUUUAAAUGAAUAAGGCACAAGUCUAAUAUCUAGAGUUUACCUGAAACAUCUGUAACCAAAAUUAACUUAAAAUAGGAAGUACAACUUUCAAAAAAAGUUGUCCUUUCCUAUGUGCUUAAGCAAUUCUUUCUAUUCCCAAACUGUAAGAUACUAAUUAGAAAAGCCGCUGGAGAUUGAUGAUUAUCAC
rnacentral:lncRNA from 1 species